UUUCUUGUGUACAAAACUUUCCCAAAAGCCGGGGUCCUGUGGUGGGAAUACUCAAAGGCUUUGCCGGUUUAAGUGGUGCAAUUUUGACCCAAAUAUAUACAAUGAUCCAUUCCCCUAAUCAUGCAUCUCUCAUAUUCAUGGUUGCAGUAGGGCCAGCAAUGGUAGUGAUUGCUCUAAUGUUCAUUGUAAGACCUGUUGGAGGUCACAGACAAGUUAGACCAUCUGAUGGCACAAGCUUUACAUUUGUAUAUAGUGUGUGCCUUCUAUUGGCUGCUUAUUUGAUGGGGGUCAUGCUUCUUGAAGAUCUGGUUGAUGUGAGCCACACUGUUAUCAUAAUUUUUACAGUGGUUUUGUUUAUUCUCAUUUUACUUCCCAUUGUCAUUCCUAUUUCAUUGAGUUUUUCCCACGAACCUAAAGAUCCAGCAGAAGAGACUCUUUUACCUGAGCCACAGAAACAAGAAGCUGGAAAAUCUGAACCUGAUGCCCCUGAGGUAAUAUUCAGUGAGGUGGAAGAUGAGAAGCCCAA
rnacentral:misc_RNA from 1 species